rnacentral:rRNA from 1 species
UACAGAGGUCUCAAGCGUUAUUCGGAUUCAUUGGGCGUAAAGGGUGCGUAGGCGGCGCGGUAAGUCGGGUGUGAAAUCUCGGAGCUUAACUCCGAAACUGCAUUCGAUACUGCCGUGCUUGAGGACUGGAGAGGAGACUGGAAUUUACGGUGUAGCGGUGAAAUGCGUAGAGAUGUGGAGGAACACCAGUGGCGAAGGCGACUUUUUGGCCUGUAACUGACGCUGAGGCGCGAAAGCGUGGGGAGCAAACAGG